UAUGAUUUUAGAAGGUUGAACAGUUAAAGUAUGAUUUUAUGCAAUUUCCACUUAUUUUAUUAAUUAUAGAUUUUCGGUGGUCACAAUUAAUAUGAUUAUAAAAUUAGUUGGUGACAUAAAUGAGGUAUUUGUGGUAAUCGGUGAAUUUGAGUCCCGAGUUCAUUUAGCAUAAACCUGUUUUCAUUUAUCCAUGAUAAGACAAAAAGACGACUUUGCAGUCAACCGGAAAAUAGAAAUAAUAUAGGCAUCCAUUGUCCACAUGGCCAGCCUAUUUCAGUGAAAACUUUUAGCUAAAAAUUUCAUUCAUAGGAGACAGAACUGUGCAACCUUAGUUACGAUUGAUUGCAUCUUGAAGGAGGCACUCACCAGAGAUUCUAUGUUGCCAUCUCCAAGUAAGUGUACUCAUGCUCACAUGCCAUAUGCAGAUUAGUUAUGGAUUUAAUUUCGCAGUAAACAAAUACUCAAAUGAAGCUGUACAUUAGUGGCUUUUAUGAGAAAAAUCCCUGUUUGUGGUAGAAUAACAUUGAUAUUUGCGAAAAUGCGUUUUUGUACAACUUCAAUUUGUUGGUGAAAACGAGCAGAAUUAAACUAUAAAUACAGAAAGUUGAGGAGAUUGAAAUGUAUUUGGUGGUGGUAUGAGUUGUGUAGAUGAGAAUUUGGAGUAUCAUGUAGGCCAUUUGAAAUAUCUAUAAAAUCUAACAUUUCUACUGAACAUUUGCUGAUUAUCUGAACUGAAUAUUGAAUCACUUCUCUCCUAGGAGCAUAGUUAAACCAAUUAUUAUCGAAAAGUUCUUUCUUGUAUCAAUUUAACCACGUCUCAAAAAGUUUUUGUUUUCCUCACUAUAUAACUAUAUCUUAUUUGAAUUUUUUCGGACAGAGCAUUACAAUUUGAGAUCAAAUUGUAAACAGAUUAAAAGUGGAUGAAAUUGUGGUAUUGUAACACUACUUGGUGAUGUUAAUUUUGGUCUUGCUGUUUUAUUCCCACGGGAGGAAUGGAGUAGCCCACACUGUAGCAUCCUUUGUUUCUCCAAUUUUUGAUAUCACUAGUUCGACUUAUUUGCAUUCCAUUAUAUUUGUCAACCACAACUCGUGGUGAUAUGGAUUAAUGAAGUUAUAGAUUUUGUCAAAAGAGAAAAGUGAUGCAAUUAGUUUGGAACUACUUAUAGACCAGAUUGAUUAACGGGAUAAACAUUUUCCCUGUUGUGAUAGGUGCACAUUGAUUUAUUACAGUUUAUCUGAGUUGGGAUGCAUACGAGUGCAAUGCAAUGAUGAGGAAUGUAACUUGACACUAUCAAGAAAUAUCUGACCAAAAUUUCAGCAUCUUUUGCUGGUCCUUGCUGUGAGAAAGAAAAUGGAUGACUCAUUGAUCAAUGGAUAUGAAAAUGAUGGAUCGUUACAAGAAUUUCGAACAUAUUUAGUUCCUGAUAUAAAGAAAAGAAUUCAGGAUGUACAACGAAAGCUAGAUUUUUGGCACCGUUUAUUAAAAGAUCUAGAUAAGAAAAAAAGUAAGGGGUCAAGUGAACAUUACCUGGAAAGGGAAAUUAGAGACUUUGUUUCUAGAC
rnacentral:lncRNA from 1 species